rnacentral:rRNA from 1 species
CGCGUGGGAAUCUACCUAGUAGUUGGGGACAACCUGGUGAAAACCAGGCUAAUACCGAAUACGCCCUACGGGGGAAAGAUAGCCUCUUCUUGAAAGCUUUCGCUAUUAGAUGAGCCCGCGUUAGAUUAGCUAGUUGGUGAGGUAAUGGCUCACCAAGGCAACGAUCCCUAGCUGGUUUGAGAGGAUGAUCAGCCACACUGGAACUGAGACACGGUCCAGACUCCUACGGGAGGCAGCAGUGGGGAAUAUUGCACAAUGGGCGAAAGCCUGAUGCAGCCAUGCCGCGUGUGUGAAGAAGGG